rnacentral:rRNA from 1 species
UACGGGGGGGGCAAGCGUUGUUCGGAAUUACUGGGCGUAAAGGGCUCGUAGGCGGCCAACUAAGUCAGACGUGAAAUCCCUCGGCUUAACCGGGGAACUGCGUCUGAUACUGGAUGGCUUGAGAUUGGGAGAGGGAUGCGGAAUUCCAGGUGUAGCGGUGAAAUGCGUAGAUAUCUGGAGGAACACCGGUGGCGAAGGCGGCAUCCUGGACCAACACUGACGCUGAGGAGCGAAAAGCCAGGGGGAGCAAACGGGG